UACGGAGGAUGCGAGCGUCAUCCGGAUUUAUUGGGUUUAAAGGGUGCGUAGGCGGUCCGUUAAGUCAGCGGUAAAAUUGCGGGGCUCAACCCCGUCGAGCCGUUGAAACUGGCAGACUUGAGUUGGCGAGAAGUACGCGGAAUGCGCGGUGUAGCGGUGAAAUGCAUAGAUAUCGCGCAGAACUCCGAUUGCGAAGGCAGCGUACCGGCGCCAGACUGACGCUGAGGCACGAAAGCGUGGGGAUCGAACAGG
rnacentral:rRNA from 1 species